rnacentral:rRNA from 1 species
AGAGUUUGAUCCUGGCUCAGGAUGAACGCUGGCGGCGUGCUUAACACAUGCAAGUCGAACGAGCCUUCGGGCUAGUGGCGGACGGGUGAGUAACGCGUGAGAAUCUGCCCUCAGGAGGGGGAUAACGGCUGGAAACGGCCGCUAAUACCCCAUAUGCCGCGAGGUGAAACGAGUUUUCGCCUGAGGAUGAGCUCGCGUCUGAUUAGCUAGUUGGUGGGGUAAGAGCCUACCAAGGCAUAGAUCAGUAGCUGGUCUGAGAGGAUGAUCAGCCACACUGGGACUGAGACACGGCCCAGACUCCUACGGGAGGCAGCAGUGGGGAAUUUUCCGCAAUGGGCGCAAGCCUGACGGAGCAACGCCGCGUGAGGGAUGAAGGCCUCUGGGCUGUAAACCUCUUUUCUCAAGGAAGAAGAACUGACGGUACUUGAGGAAUAAGCCACGGCUAAUUCCGUGCCAGCAGCCGCGGUAAUACGGGAGUGGCAAGCGUUAUCCGGAAUUAUUGGGCGUAAAGCGUCCGCAGGCGGUCUUGGAAGUCUGUUGUUAAAGCGUGGAGCUCAACUCCAUUUCAGCAAUGGAAACUAGAAGACUAGAGUGUGGUAGGGGCAGAGGGAAUUCCCGGUGUAGCGGUGAAAUGCGUAGAUAUCGGGAAGAACACCAGUGGCGAAGGCGCUCUGCUGGGCCAUAACUGACGCUCAUGGACGAAAGCCAGGGGAGCGAAAGGGAUUAGAUACCCCUGUAGUCCUGGCCGUAAACGAUGAACACUAGGUGUCGGGGGAAUCGACCCCCUCGGUGUCGUAGCUAACGCGUUAAGUGUUCCGCCUGGGGAGUACGCACGCAAGUGUGAAACUCAAAGGAAUUGACGGGGGCCCGCACAAGCGGUGGAGUAUGUGGUUUAAUUCGAUGCAACGCGAAGAACCUUACCAGGGUUUGACAUCCUGCGAAUCUUUUGGAAACAGAAGAGUGCCUUCGGGAGCGCAGAGACAGGUGGUGCAUGGCUGUCGUCAGCUCGUGUCGUGAGAUGUUGGGUUAAGUCCCGCAACGAGCGCAACCCACGUCUUUAGUUGCCAGCAUUAAGUUGGGCACUCUAGAGAGACCGCCGGUGAUAAACCGGAGGAAGGUGUGGAUGACGUCAAGUCAUCAUGCCCCUUACAUCCUGGGCUACACACGUACUACAAUGCUACGGACAAAGGGCAGCAAACUCGCGAGAGCUAGCAAAUCCCAUAAACCGUGGCUCAGUUCAGAUCGUAGGCUGCAACUCGCCUACGGGAAGGAGGAAUCGCUAGUAAUCGCAGGUCAGCAUACUGCGGUGAAUACGUUCCCGGGCCUUGUACACACCGCCCGUCACACCAAGCACAGAAAGACAAGAUGU